rnacentral:misc_RNA from 1 species
GAUGAAGAACGCAGCGAAAUGCGAUAAGUAAUGUGAAUUGCAGAAUUCAGUGAAUCAUCGAAUCUUUGAACGCACCUUGCACCCUUUGGCAUUCUGAAGGGUAUGCUCGUUUGAGUGUCAUUGUACUCUCACACUCCCGAUCUUUGCAUUGGGAGCAGUGGACUUGGGUUUGCUGCUUCACCGUCGCUUACCUCAAAUAGGUUAGUGCAACUCUUGGUUGGACAUAGUACGGCGUGAUAAGUGUUCUUCGCCGGUGCCUCGCAAAGAGGGUGGCCGAUCGGGAUGUUGUGCUCCAAACCGUCUUCGGACAAUCUCUGACGACUUGACCUCAAAUCGAGUAAGACUACCCGCUGAACUUAAGCAUAUCAAUAAGCGGUGGA